GGCAUAUUAUCAAUACUUACUAGCUAGUGUAUACAUUGCAAGUUAAAAAUUAAAGAAGCCAUGAUAGCUCAAAUCCUCCCAUUACCAUGAACUAUGAAUAAAUAUGCAAGUCAGAAUAAAAAGUAACAGUAUAAAGGAGU